CACGGAUCCAGGCCCCGGGUCCCGCCGGCCCCUCCGAACCGCGCCGCCACCCUCCUCCUCCUCCGGGCCACGGCGCGCCGCUCUUCCCCGGCGCUGCGCCGCGCUCGCCUCACCGAAUUUAAGGCGAAGAGAAAAGAGCCAGAAAUCCCCGAGCUGGCGGCAACUGCGGCGCUGUCUCCUCUGCGACCGGAACUAACGCGAGCAGGAGGGGAGGAAGAGGCGCCACCCCCGCCCCGGAGGCCUGCUAUCGCGAGAUUUCUACCCUGCGCCAGUUCGCACUCCCCCCUGCCGAAGGCCGCGGGGUUGCAGCUCGGGGGCACCGGCUAACACCGCGGUGGUAGGCGUCUCUGUCCCACCCUAAAGCCCCAGGCUGCCCUGACUCUUGUACCAGGGUAGCCCGUCCCCCUUCCUCCGCCGCAGCGGCCGGCCUCCCCCUCUCCGGGCGGGGAUGGGAGUGGGAAGCGGCCCCUCAACGGCCGCGAGUUGGACCAGUCCGUCCCGGUCCAGCCCAGACCCCUCCUCCGGAAGCUGGAGCCCGGGGGUAGGGGGAAUGCUGGGCGGCGGGCGCAGAGGCCGGGGCGUCUGUAGGGUUCUGCCUGGGUGAGGACUGCAGCCCGGCCUCCCUGCUCUGCGAUGCGGUGUGCUGAGGGCAAGUCUGACCUCGGCCUGUCACCACGCCUUGCAAGGGGUGCUCGUCCCCUGACUGCGGUGGACUGGGAAUUUGUUAAAACCAGAUUGCGAGGCCCCCACCCGCAGGGUUUAUAAUUGCUUCUGGUGCAGGACUCAAGAAUGUGCCUUUAUCACAAAGUCUCCCGAGAUAAGGACCUUCAGAAGGUGUAUUCUCCGGGACAACAGAUAAAACUGCCCGCAUCCGGAUCUCCUUCAUCCCUCUCCAGAAGAGAAGAGAAGAAACAUGGGAAAUGCCAGGUACAGGACCCUGCUUCCCGCUUCAUUCAUGGGUGAGAAAUGCCUGGGUUCUAUAAAAUCCCCAUGGUCUUCAGCCUACCUACAAAAGGUAGCCUUGUGUAGGGGCUGCUCCUGUGUCUUCUGCAGCCUAAGGAGGAAAAGCAAGGCUUGGGAAGGUGUCAGAAGACAUCCCAGUCAACAUUUUGGAUAAAAAUAAAAUGUGUGAGCGAGCCCAUGUGCAUGCGCGUGUGAUCCCAUGUGCUUGCAUGCCACCACAUGCUUAUAGAAGUCAGAAGACAACUUUCAGGAGUUGCUUCUCUUUUUCCACCGUGGGCUCUAAAAACCAGGUUACCCUGGUAUAGCAACAGCUGAGUCCUGGGGUCUGACUCAGAAAGCAUAUUAAACUGUUUUGGGGGGCUAGGGAUGUACCUCCGUUGGUAGAGUGCUCACCUAGCAUGUACUUACG
rnacentral:lncRNA from 1 species